CCUUUGUCUGAAUCUGAUCUUGUGGCCUACAUCUUAUCUGGACUUCGUGAUGAAUAUGAGUCAUUUGUUGAUUCUAUUGAGACUCGCACUGAAUCUGUGACUGAUGAUGAACUUUAUGGACUUCUAUUGAGUAAAGAAA